GUGCCAGCAGCCGCGGUAAGACGAACCAUGCGAACGUUAUUCGGAAUCACUGGGCUUAAAGCGUGCGUAGGCGGCUCAGAAAGUUGGGUGUGAAAUGCCUCGGCUCAACCGAGGAAUUGCGCCCAAAACUACUGAGCUUGAGGGAGUUAGAGGUGAGCGGAACUCACGGUGGAGCGGUGAAAUGCGUUGAUAUCGUGAGGAACACCGGAGGCGAAAGCGGCUCACUGGGGCUUCACUGACGCUGAGGCACGAAAGCUAGGGGAGCAAACGGGAUUAGAUACCCCGGUAGUCC
rnacentral:rRNA from 1 species